GAUGAACGCUGGCGGCGUGCCUAAUACAUGCAAGUCGAGCGAACAGACGAGGAGCUUGCUCCUCUGACGUUAGCGGCGGACGGGUGAGUAACACGUGGAUAACCUACCUAUAAGACUGGGAUAACUUCGGGAAACCGGAGCUAAUACCGGAUAAUAUAUUGAACCGCAUGGUUCAAUAGUGAAAGACGGUUUUGCUGGCACUUAUAGAUGGAUCCGCGCCGCAUUAGCUAGUUGGUAAGGUAACGGCUUACCAAGGCAACGAUGCGUAGCCGACGGGAGAGGGUGAUCGGCCACACUGGAACUGAGACACGGUCCAGACUCCUAAGGGAGGCAGCAGUAGGGAAUCUGCCGCAAUGGGCGAAAGCCUGACGGAGCAACGCCGCGUGAGUGAUGAAGGUCUUCGGAUCGUAAAACUCUGUUAUUAGGGAAGAACAAAUGUGUAAGUAACUAUGCACGUCUUGACGGUACCUAAUCAGAAAGCCACGGCUAACUACGUG
rnacentral:rRNA from 1 species